rnacentral:lncRNA from 1 species
CAGCAGAAAAACUGCUUCUGCUACCACUCAUAAGCAAAUUAUUUUUUAAAAUAAGUUUGGCCAAACAUCCUAUUUUUUUAAAAUAAGUAUUUUUUUUAAAAAUAAGCAGUUUCUUCCUCCCAAAAAGCUUGGCCAAACAGGACUUUAGUGGAGUUAACCCCAGAAAGCUGGAGCCGACCCCUGCACUGAAAUAGACUGAAACAAAAGAGUUUUUAAGUUUCAGGAUGAUCAGCAGUUAACCCCAGAGAAGAGUCAACUCUGGCACAUUGAAAGAAAACUGGCAUGGAUUUGAGUCAAUUCAUGCAUAGGACAAGCUGACUUUUUCAGAAAAGAGACAAGACUGUAUUUUCAAGGUUGCAACUCGGGUUGACACCUGAAGAGCUCGAGUCGAUCCCAGGAAGAUUGGAGUCGACCCCCAAGGAAUUGGAGUCGACCCCAAGCCUAGGACUGCACUAAAUGCUAAUUUUUUGCACUACUUCUAAUGGCUAUUCCAAUCAUUUCAACAGCUAAAACUUACUCUCCAGCCACUUUUAAGCUUUUUAAAUGCUAGAGAAUCAAUUAGGAAGUAAGCUAAGUGGAUCAAAAAGAGAAAAUCAUCAAUUUGAGUGAGCUUCAUUGAAUACCAUUGAAAAAGGGAGAAAAGAGAAGUUUAAGUGCACAGAUUUGAGAGCUUUCAAAAAGUGAUAUUCUCCAAUAUUUUCUACAUCCUCUCAAGCAUUAAAGAA